AAAAAGAAGUAGAAGUAGAAGAAGAAGAAGAAGAAGAAGAAGAAGAAGAAGAAGAAGAAGAAGAAGAAGAAGACGUGGUUUCCGGAUCCUUCUUACGUUCACUUGAGGACUGCAGUGCAAACGCAAAAUAUAAUUUCAGUGAAGCCUUCAGAGAGUGUUGGUCAUCAUGAGUUUGAUGCCAUCUUAUCGAUGAGUUUCUAUCUCACAUCUGCUACCUGAAGGAAGGAGAAACGCCUGCUUUGCUGCAGUGUUGGAACACCAAGUGUUGGUUUUGACUAAGGCAAGAUAUUAGGGCAGUAUUGAAUAUUACAUACUGUGAGAUUGACAAUAAAUAUUAUUUUUGGUGCAUUUGUUCUUGGUUCAAAUGCUGAGUGUUGUUAUAACCCAGAGGCUUUUGAUUUGGUUUUUUGAAUAAUUGAUCAGCGAAUAAAGAUUAAAGAAAUCUUUAAAGACAGAA